AUUAAUACUUUGUCCGUCUAAGAAAUAUUUUUGGCAAAAUCUUUGGCAAAAUGGUUAAAUUCGAUAAGAUUUAUACACAAUUUGUCGAAGGUUAGUAUUAUUGUUUGUUUUAAACUGUGAGAGAAGAUUAAUUGUGUAGUAGAACACACCUCUGAGGCUCUGACCGAGUAUUUAGGGCAAAAUGUGCCUUCAUAUUUGGCUUCGUAUAGCGUUUUAUAAUGUUUAUAUUUAUAAAACUAAAGUCUGGGUUAUAAACUGAAACAUGACCUUUAGUUUUUGAUAUUCUUCAUAGUCGAGUUUAAAUUGGCCUAAUUUAUAGUUAGUUACCACUAGAAAUGCGACGAUAUUUUGUUAAUAUAUCAUAUAUGCAACAGUGUUUACAAUUACUUUUGAAUAAUAAGUGAUUUGGUUUUGUUUCAGAUACUAUUACAUGUUGCUUCAUUUUACCUAGGCCUCGGGCCACUAACAACGUCUGCGCAGGAGGCUACAUUUUACCAUAAAUUGUAUUAAAAAAGUGAUUUGCUCAUUUGGCUGAUGUUACAGUUUUCUGAUGUGUUUUGUUUGGAUGAUAUUAGAACAAUUUCAAUAUGAAAGUGCAGGUGUCAUUAGACAUGAGCCAUAAUGUAUAUAUAAAAAUACUGAUAAAAAUACUGACAUAAUACUGAUAAAAUCCGUAUCCAGCU